CUCUUUUGGAACUUGGAUUCAACCUUUUCUUGAUUAUUAUCAUAUGAUCGACAGAGAUAAUGAUCGUUAAUCAUUUUUUAUUCACUGUGAUUAUUAAUUUCUACAACAUAUGCUUAUUUAGACCGUUAUCAAAUUGUGAAAAAAUAAAUAAUCAAGCUACAAGCGGCAACUGUCAUGAAUUUAAUUCAAGCUCAUGAACAUGAUGAAGUUUAAAUCACUCUUUCGAAGAGGACAACAAAGCCACUCGCAACAACAACUCACUAGAGAUUUACAUCAGCAUCAGCCAACGGGUUACUUACACCAUCAGCAAAUGGCGCAAACAGAAUUGCAGCAUCAAGCUUCAAAUUUAUCAACAAUUGAGAAAAAGACUGAUAAUUCGCAGGCCGAUUUGUGGUUAGCUAAUAAAGGAACGGUUAAUGUUGGAUCUCAGAAAUAUACAAAAAGCACUAUGAAACGUUCGAAGAUACAAGAGUUAGAGCGAGAACUUGAACUUUUACAUAAAGAACGGAUGAAACUUGAAAUUCACUUACAAGAAGUUUCGGCUAAUGAAGAAAAACUUCAUGAACUCCGUAAAGAACUCUCUUGUCUUAAGGAACAACACAGUUUAGAAGUAGAGAGGUUAACCCAAGACAAUCAAGUUUUACGUGCUCGUCUUCGUGAUGUUGCUCAUUCUCCUUUAUCAGACUCUGAAAAACAACAAUUACUACUGGACGCUUCCAGAUUACACAGCUCGACUUCUGUUUCUAUUUCCAUGGCUCAUCACGACGUGGGUGCAUCAACAACAAACACUACAUCUGAUGAUCCAAGAUGUACUACUCCUGAAUGGGAUAAACAUUCUUCGAGUUCUUUUUCUGAAAUGUCUGUUGCUUGUCUUCAAGAUAGAAUUCUUCAAAUGGAGGAAACUCAUUAUUCGACUAAUGAGGAAUUACAAGCAACUAUACAAGAGUUAAGUGAUUUACAAGCUCAAUUGACAGAACUUCAAACUGACAAUGAAAGACUUACCGAGGAAAAAGGUGUGCUUCUGGAAUCGCUUUGUAGACAAACAGAAAAAUUAGAAGAUUCACGAGGUAAAGUUGAUACACUUCAAGGGCUUUUGUUAAAAGAAGAGAAAUUAAAAGAUUCGUCGAAUGGUUAUAAUACCGAAAGAGAACAGAAACUUGUGGAUUUAUUAAAGAGUGCGCAAGAAGAACGAGAGUCUUUACUUUGUAAACAAGAAGAAUUAACUUCAGAAUUAAAAUGUUUACGUCAAUCUGCUGAAAUGAGCGCAAAUGAAUUGGAUCGUUUAGUAAAGCAUGUUCAUCACCUCGAGUUAGUCAUAGAUACUAGCAAUAUAGAAAAAAAACAACUUAGUUCAGAACUAAUAGAAGUCAAACAAGAAAGUACCAAUAAAAGUCUUGAAAUGAAUAGGCUUGUAACUUUAUUGGAAAAUGCUCGUUCUAAAAUUGAAGAAUUAAAGUUAUCAAAACAGCUUGAAACUAAAAGUGAAGCUGAUGAAUUACUUGAUACUGUAAGGCGAGAAAAAGACACCCUUGAAACACAAGCUGCUGCGCUACAAGAACAAUUAGCUCGUUCUCAUUGCGAUCACGGACGGCUGAGAGACCAAUAUUCACAAUUACAAGAAGAAUUUAAAGUCACUCGUAAUAACGCUAAAUCUUCUAUCGAUGAUUUAGAAUACCGCUUAAGCCAAUUAAAAGAUGAGCGAAUAUCAGUUAAUACAGAACUACAACUAAUUCGAAACUCAUUAGUCGAGUUGCAAACUCAGUGUCAAAGGCAUUUAGAAGAUAAACGAGAACUAAAAGCUGCGUUGAGUGAAGCUCAGCGACGAGAACGAGAAGCACAACUUCACUACUAUGAUUUAGAACAAGUGCUUAGUAAUGAACGAAAAUUACGACAAGAAAAAAAUGCUGAGUGGGAGCAAUUUCAAAAUGAUUUAUUAAUGACUGUUCGUGUCGCAAAUGAUUUCAAGACAGAAGCCCAAUCUGAACUUGAACGUGUACUUAUGGAAAACAAGACGCUACGAGAUAAAUUGAGAUUACUCGAAGCUCAACUGGAAAAGCUUAGCAAUGUAAGUCCAAAAAAUACCCCGUUAGCGUUACGACAAACAUCGACUUCUGUUGAAACUCAACCACACGUAUUGACUAGUGUCAAACAGGAAAUGGUAAUGCUUCGGAAAUCUAAUAUUCCACGACAAGAUUCAAGGCUUUCGGUAAAAUGUUUGAUCGAGAGUAUCGAAAAUGCAACUAAACAAGCCAAAUCUGGACCCGGUAGCCAAAGUAGUUCUACAUCUUCUUUGAAUUCUAUUGGAACUAAUGAUCUGUUGAGCUUAAAAACUUCAUUACGUGAUCAACAUCAAGUGAAUAAUUUAAUAAGUGCAUCCAAUUCAUCAAAUAUUAAUAAUACUCAUUCUAUUGGUAAUAAAAGAUUGCCAUUUUCAGAAUCACAAAAAUCUUCAGUACCAAUCAUUAAUUUGAACUCAAAAGAACUGUUGGAUUCUGCAACAUUAAAUGUAAACACUAUCGAUUUCGUUCAACGAAACACUAUAACAGAUCUCACUGGAAAGGAUCCUCUAUGUGGUUUAGUUAAAAACGGUGGUUCAAAGCGAAAUGCGUUGCUUAAAUGGUGUCAAAAUAAAACAAUAGGUUAUCGAAAUAUUGAUAUCACAAAUUUUAGUAGUUCUUGGAAUGACGGUCUUGCACUUUGUGCUAUUCUUCAUUCAUAUUUGCCCGAUAAAAUACCUUAUGAUUCUUUAAACCCUUCUGAAAAAAAACGGAAUUUUUUUUUGGCAUUUUCGGCAGCCGAAAGCGUUGGAAUCACGACAACAUUGAAUAUUGGAGAUAUGUGUCAAUCAGAGCGUCCCGAAUGGCAGCAAGUUAUGACAUAUGUUACAAGUAUUUAUAAACACUUUGAGACUUAAAUCGCAUAAAAAUAAAAAAAUGAUGACAUCUAGUCAAAUCUUUAAUGGAAUCAACUACCGUAAAAAAAUUUAAAAAAAGCUAUUGCGCAUUAAUCGAAGAGGAAAGAUAAGUUAAGAAAUGUUUUUAAUUAAUUGAAACAAUCACUUAAUUGCAAUCUUUUAUAAAUACGCUUCCGAAAUAUUUUAUAGGAGAAAAUGAUGAAAGAAUCAUUUAAGAAAUAUUUUGUAGAGAAUUAAGACUGGAUAUUGGAAGAGAUAAUUGAUUAUCUUUGACAAAAAUUCGAGUGUGCUUUUUUUUUGUAAAACAUAUAAUUCGUUAUUUUCCAAAAUCAAGGAAUAAAAAAUUUUAUCAAAAAUAAAGAAGUAAUUGUUUAAAAAAAUUGUAAAGCAUAAACAUACAGGUAAAAAAAUAUAGAAAAAAAUUUAAUUUUCUAA